rnacentral:rRNA from 1 species
UACGUAGGGGGGCAAGCGUUGUUCGGAUUCAUUUGGGGCGUAAAAGGGGUGCGUAGGUGGCGGGGGUUAGUCAGGUGUGAAAUCUCGGAGCUCAACUCCGAAACUGCACUUGAUACUGCCUUGCUAGAGUACUGGAGAGGAGAUUGGAAUUUACGGUGUAGCAGUGAAAUGCGUAGAUAUCGUAAGGAAGACCAGUGGCGAAGGCGAAUCUCUGGACA